GAGCUUCUUCAUCAAACCAGAGCCUCACACUCCCUCUUUAUUGACCAAAGCUUCUUCAUCAACGUGAGGUUUUCAUCAGACGCACACCCUUGAUCGUUCCACAAGUUUUUUUUUCUCUCUUCAUCUCUUCUCUAUACUCCUUCAUUUCAAUCUACUUCAAUUCAAAUAUCCUUGGGGUUGUGGUAGGCUUUGUCGAAGGUUCAUUUGGUAAGUAAGGGUUUUUGCAAUCAACUUUUGGAGUUUAGCGUUGGGGCUGUUGUAAGUUUGGCCUCAAAAGUUCAUUUGGUAAGUGAAGUGUGUUCUUUAAAAUUGAAUUUGUGUUAACUUUUUUUGUGGGUUUUUUUUAAAAAAAAAUGAUUUUGUGUUAAUUCUUUUUGUGGAUUUUUUUUAUUAGUAAUGUAUGAAUGUUUGAUUCAAUAUGGGUAAAUACUGUGUGCAUUGUUUUCAUUCCUUAUUUCUUGUUAAGGGUUUUUUUGAGGUUUGAAGUUUGAAGUUGUUUGAUUGGGUUUGAGGGUUUGGAUUUCAGAUUUAGUUUAUGGAGAGAUAUUUUGGUUGUUGAGUGAUUAUGAUUAUUGUGGUUCACUAUGAUUGUUUUCAUUCCUUAUUUUGUGUUAGGGGUUUGUUUGAGGUUUGGAGUUUGAAGUUGUUUGAUUGCGUUUGAGGGUUUGGAUUUCGGAUUUAGUUUAUGGAGAGAUGUUUUGGCUGUUGAGUGAUUUUGAUUAUUGUGGUUUACUAUGGUUUGUUGUGUCCAAUGUUGAAAUGAUUUUGUUGAGGUUGAGUUGAUUGUUUUCCUAAAUCUUGGAUGUUGAAUGAUUAUGAUUAUUGUGGUUUACUGUGGUUUGUUGUGUCCAAUGUUGACAUGGUUUCGUUGAGGUUAAGUUGAUUGUUUUCCUAAAUCCUAAUAAUUGAUGUUUGGUGGCUAUUCUAUUUGAUUGUUUCUAUGUGGACGCUUUCAUAUUUUAGUCCUCCUGGAUAAAGCUUGAGUUUGUUGUUUUACCUGUUCAAUUAUUGGACAAUGGUUUUCGAGUGUUUCUCUGCAACCUCUUUCAUAUUUUGCUACUUCUGCCUAUAAGUUUGGUUUAAAGUUUUCGCUUUUUCAUAUUUUGCUGCUUCUGCCUACAAGCAUAUUUUAUUUUAUAGGAUUUAACGUUUAUUUUGUCUCUUCUCAUUGUUGUGUCUUCAAAUACUUUAAGAGAAAUCAAAAUUAAAGAGAUCAAUCUAGGUCAAGUGAAUUGGUUUGUAAAAUGUCAGAUUAUUAGAUAUUUGCCGAUCUGCUAAAUUAUCAAUGGGAAACAUGAAUCUUAUAUUCAGUUCAUUUUGAUAGAUUCAGAGAUACGUUUUUAAUAUGGAUCAUAUUUAAUUUUCUUCUAUUUCCUAUUUUUUAUUUUUCAGAUUUGAAGUAAUGAAUUGCAAAUAAAAAGAAGCUAAUUAUAUUUCUAUUUCAAUGUACAGGACAUUUAUACGUAUUUCUAUUUCAAUGUACAGGGUUGUAGAAUUGAAGCUCUAAUGAAAGACAAAAUUUAUGAUAUGGUUUUAAAGGAUAAGAUAAAUCCUAAAAAACUUUACACUUUUGGCAAUGUUAAGUUAUUGAAUAAUGUUGGCCUGAAUCGUAUGAGUGAUCAUGAUUAUAUCCUACAAUUAACCAAAAAAAUUGACAUUAGAGAGGCUGAAUCUAAUAUCUAUACUAGCUUUGGGCUAAUAUACAUGUCCACAUCAAUGAAAUUUCCUAUCUAAAGCAACAUUUAGAGUUUUUGAUAGGUAAUAACACAUAUUAUUCAUUUUAUAUCUUUAUUUCUAUGAAAAUAUAGGAUAUUACUAACACAGUGUUUCAUGAUAAUAAUGUAGGUAUAGUUGGUGUUGUCACAGCAAGGUCUAGACCAGAGCAAAAUUUACAUAACAACAGGAUCACAAAAUUUAUCUUUGAAAUCUCAGAUCAUACAUAUGUUUUACUCAUUUCAAUUCUACAUUCUAUAAUAUACAAUUAUUUUUAUAUAAUUUUGUUUUUGUUUAAAUGCAAAGGGGAAAAAUGAAAUAUGUGUUGCAUGAUAACUAUGGAGAAUAAGGUUUAAAUUGACUUAUUCAAAGGACAACUUUAGUACCAAUAAUUGUAAUCCAAUUUGCAAAAACAAGCGAGUCUUCCUCAAUAUUAUAUGGUUAGAAAACAAAUUUGUUUAACACUUUACGUAUAACAUUUUUUUAUUAUUGUUGCUAUUGUUUUUUAAAAGUGACUUAUCCAUGUUUGCAUUCUUUAUUUUUAAGCGAUUACCCUCUAAAAUUUGUAGGUAAUGUUGUGGUUGAAACAAUUCAAAAUACAACAAUGAUUUUCAAUCCUCAUUUAGAUGAAUGGCCUUCAAUAAGAGAUGAGUACAUAAAAUCUUUUCAAUUUUAAUUGAAUGUAUUUUGUCUUUGAAAUAGAAAUAAGCUUACUCUCUAAAAUUUGUUUUUGACAGUUUAUUUGAGUUUGGCCUUCUUGACAAACCAAAUGUCAGAUACGUGCCUUUGCCUAAAAAAAAGGACAAGCCAAGUUCUUCAUGCCAGAGUAGCAAGCACCAUUAAAAUAUAUGAAUAAUUUAAUUUGUUAUGUUUUAAACAUUACUUUGUUCAGAUACAUUUAUUUUAUAGAUUGCUCUUUAUAUGUUCUUAGUAACAUUUGUGCACAACUUAAUUUUAAUUCGUACUUAUUUCUU